AUUAUACUUCCUCUGUCCCAAAAUUCUUGUCUUAUAUUUAUCUAGAUACGGAUGUAUCUAACACUAAAAUGUGAAUAGAUACAUCCGUAUGUAGACAAAUCUAAGACAAGAAUUUUGGGACGGAGGGAGUAUAUG
rnacentral:pre_miRNA from 1 species